GGAGUUUGGGCCGUGUCUCAGUCCCAAUGUGGCCGGUCACCCUCUCAGGUCGGCUACGGAUCAUCACCUUGGUGGGCCGUUACCCCGCCAACUAGUUAAUCCGACGCGGAUCCAUCCUGCUCCGAUGAAAUCUUUCCACCCUGUACCAUGCGGUACUGUGUGCAUAUGCGGUAUUAACAGUCGUUUCCAACUGUUAUCCCCCUGAGCAGGGCAGGUUAUCCACGCGUUACUCACCCAUCCGCCGCUAAGUUAAAUCCGAAAACUUAACUCCGCUCGACUUGCAUGUGUUAGGCACGCCGCCAGCGUUCAUC
rnacentral:rRNA from 1 species